rnacentral:rRNA from 1 species
CCUACGGGAGGCAGCAGUGAGGAAUAUUGGUCAAUGGGCGGGAGCCUGAACCAGCCAAGUAGCGUGAAGGAUGACUGCCCUACGGGUUGUAAACUUCUUUUAUAAAGGAAUAAAGUGAGGCACGUGAGCCUUUUUGUGUGUACUUUAUGAAUAGGCAUCGGCUAACUCCGUGCCAGCAGCCGCGGUAAUACGGAGGAUUCGAGCGUUAUCCGGAUUUAUUGGGUUUAAAGGGAGCGUAGAUGGGUUGUUAAGUCAGUUGUGAAAGUUUGCGGCUCAACCGUAAAAUUGCAAUUGAUACUGGCUGCCUUGAGUACAGUUGAGGUAGGCGGAAUUCGUGGUGUAGCGGUGAAAUGCUUAGAUAUCACGCAGAACUCCGAUUGCGAAGGCAGCUUACUAACCUCCCACUGACAUUGAUGCACGAAAGUGUGGGUAUCGAACAGGAUUAGAUACCCGGGUAGUC